CUACGGGAGGCAGCAGUAAGGAAUAUUGGACAAUGGGCGAAAGCCUGAUGGAGCAACGCCGCGUGCAGGAUGAAGGCCUUCGGGUUGUAAACUGCUUUUAUAAGUGAAGAUUAUGACGGUAACUUAUGAAUAAGGAUCGGCUAACUCCGUGCCAGCAGCCGCGGUCAUACGGAGGAUCCAAGCGUUAUCCGGAAUUACUGGGCGUAAAGAGUUGCGUAGGCGGUUAAGUAAGUGAGUAGUGAAACUGUGUGGCUCAACCAUGCACCCAUUAUUCAAACUGCUUUGACUAGAGAGUGGAAGAGGUUGCUAGAAUUCCUAGUGUAGGGGUGAAAUCCGUAGAUAUUAGGAGGAAUACCAAUGGCGUAGGCAGGCAACUGGUCCAUUUCUGACGCUCAGGCACGAAAGCGUGGGGAGCGAUCGGGAUUAGAAACCCGAGUAGUCC
rnacentral:rRNA from 1 species